ensembl:lncRNA
GCUCUUCUCAAAGAUUGUAUUCUUCACACUUAAAUUUUGAACAUAAUGAUAAUUAUUUUCCUAAAAAAGAGAAAAACAUAAGAAAUUCGUGUGCCCUAUAAAAGUAUUUGCCAUUCUUCAAAUAUGAAUUUUAAAUUGUAUUAAUUUAAAAGUAUUAUUAUAAAAUAUAUACACAAAAUAUCAAAAUAAGUUAAGGCUGCUAAAAAAAAAAAAAACAUUUUUUUUUUUUUUUGCAAUUAAUUGAAAUAAAUUAAAUCCAAUGUGAUUUUUUAGUGCAUGGAUGAAAUGAGUUCCCCUCAGGUUCACACAGGUUUGUAAUGUAACCGCAGAUGUAGUUGUACUUUUUUAUUUGGGCUAAUUAUUAUUUAAUUAUUUAUUUAUACUUAAACAGUAUGCUUUUUGCCAUUUUAUUUGAUAUUUUGCAUUUAGUCCUAUGCCUGCAUUUUGAAAGGUGUGUUAAGUGUCCAAUUUUUCGGGCUCACUAAAGUCUGCUUAGAAUUAAAAACUUCUACACUGACCGAACCUCAUCUGGAGACAUAUUUGACUGUUCAUGUUAAAACCUCCUGUCCGGGUGGGAGGGUACGAGGGGCGAACACCACGCCCAUGUUGCCAUGACAACCAGCUGAUCAGCGGCAAUCUGAUCCACGAUGGGAGGAGCGGCGGUCCAGGUGCUCUAGCCAACCGUGUGCUCAGACGCUCAUCAGAAGAAGAUAGUUGGCCGGAGGAAAGUGUGCGAGUGGGGUAUCGCGAUCACAGACGGGUUAUUGUUCUGAUUUAACCGCUGCCUCCUCGCGAUCUCCUCACCAAGAGUUCACUCGCAUCCCAUGGACUGGAAAAUCCCGUGCUUCUGAGAGACAGCUGAACUGCGUGCGCGCACAAUGUUCAAGAAAAGCAAGAGCAAAGUUCUGGUGGAUGAAGCGUCGGAGGAGGACGAGGUGUCGUGGCAUCACGGUCACGCGAGUAAGGAUAAGGACUCCGAGGGAACAGAGGAAGUUCUGAGCCCCUCAACAAAGGAUUCAAAGUUAAAGAAGGUUAAAUCAAAGCGAGAAAAAGGAGACAAGAAGUUGUUUCCGUCUCAGGACGAUGAACACAUCUUGCUCACAGGAGUCACUGUCUCUCACAGAAGAGGGUAAGCUAAAGCUAAAUGAAGUAUGUUUCGCAAGCCUCAAAAUUCCAAUAUGUAUUUUUUAGAUGAUUGCAAUAAUUUUAGAUGAUUGUACCUAGUAAAUAGGGAUGGGUGGGACAACCAAAAUUGUGAAAUUUAAAAUGUAUGAAUAAUUUUAUAUUACAGUUGCAGUAUGCAUCAUGCCAUAGUUAUCUUUGCUGAAAGGUUAACCUUAUGUGAAAAAAAUAUGUUUGUAUGUAAAAUAUGUAAAAUAUGUUUUUUUUAUAUUACAUAAACAUGUAUUGAUGCAUUUUUUGUAUUAUUAUUAUUAUUGAGGUUUUUUUUUUUCAUUAUACCUUCCAAAUGAAAAUGUAGACAUGAUUUUUUUUAAAACUGUAGAUGUUUUUAUGAAAUAGAAUGUACGUCAAUCCAAUGUUUUUGAGAUGAUUAUCGGAUGUUUGUACACACACACACACACACACACACACACACACACACACAAGAUGUUUAAAAUAGAACACAAUGGUUUCUAGCUUAUGUGCUUCUUCACAGGCGUCUCUGCAUUGGAUGUGCUUGGUGGGAAAAUUCAAAACCACAUUUUCCAAAUCUUUUGGUCUGCCUCAAACUCACGCCAUUAGUUGAGCCAGAAAUUGACAUGUUGGGCUUCUGGAACCAACAAAGCCAUGUUGUAAAAGCAGCACAGAGUGUUUAUAGUCAGUCUGUGGGGGAAAUGAACUGGUGGCUUGCUUAGAGUUGACUCUGCAUAUUAAAGUUGGAUUAGGAAAAAGUAUUUUAACACCAGAGACGUACAAACGGCACAUUUGAGUGCCUAGAAAUGAAGAUAUAGAUACUGUAUGCAAUAAAAAUAGAGAUAAAUAUAUCUUUACA